rnacentral:lncRNA from 10 species
CUAUUUCCAAAUAAGGUCACUUUCACAGGUUCCAGGUGGACAUGAAUUUUCAGAGAAUGCUGUUUAACCUGGUGCAGUCUCCAAAAGUCAUUGUUAAUAAAAACAUAUUGCCUGAGCUAAGGAUGCAAAGAGGUGUAAGUCACAGCCCCUGCCCUCCAAGAAACUCUAGUUACAGAAGUAGUCCUUGCACUGAGAACAUAAAGACAGGCGUCACUAAGAGCCAACUAACUGAAGCCAAAUGAAAAUCUAGGGACCAAAUGGCAGCUGUACACAAGGAAUUCAGCCAAAGGGGCACAUUCACUGAGGAUACGGCUGCAAGACUUCACUCAAAGACUUGAACCUGGAAGCAUGUAGCCCUGGGAUGAUGAGAAGAAAGGCUAUUAGGAUGGCGCCAAAAUGAGGAAAUGGAGCUGAGAAAUGGAAAGCAAGAGAAACUGGUGCUCUGUCAUGCUCUUUGAACCCUGAAUGAAACCUGAAGAUCUGUUCCUGGUCUUUCAUGUAAAUGAGUCAAUAAAAUUCCUUUUUGAGGGGUUGAGGCCGGUCUGAUGUGGGUUUUAAAUCAUCACUUAUAAUCCAAAGAAUUUAAACUUUUUUACACAUGGUCCAUAUGUAAACAUAGUAACUCCUUUAUUAGGAGCUUUGUUUUAUAGACUUCCGGAAACAAGGUAUCUCAUAAAAGUUAAGGAAUAUUUUUUUCUUAGGAAAAACCCAUAGAAAUAAA